CUAUUAUAUUUUACUAUAUUUGUGCUGAUUGUUGCACUAUUUGCUUCUGCACUAUCUUAAUUAACAGUUAAUAAUCAGCUAUGAAACAUAACAAGCGGCAACACUUCUCAUUUCCGUUAAAAUGACAGAAAUCAGCAGUUCUUGGAAGAACGCUGUCGAACCAUCCAGGUUGUUUGCACCUUUUGUGCGAUAUAAAACUAAAGCUGACGCUGACGAGAAUUCAUUUUCUGUUGAACAACAGCUUAAUACCUAGAAUCGUGAAUAAUAUAGCAGAUCGAGAAUUAAUGCUUAAAGCUGUAUAGAAACAUCUCAACUAAUGUAUGAUAAUCAAUAUUUGAAUAAAUCAGUUUGAAAUUUUAUGAUUAUUAAAAUAUAUUGUUUUAACUCAAUA